UGGACUGGCUCCCUUGUCUACCGGCCCCAUGGAGGAGCUGGAAGAAUCCAUGUGACCUAAAGCGAACAAGGAGGCUGUGACUACAAACUGGGAAUCGAAGAACCAUCCCUACGUUCACUGAUUC
rnacentral:lncRNA from 1 species